GCUGCGGUGGUGUAGUUGUUAGCAUUUUUGCCUGGCUAGCAAGAAGAUCCGGGUUCGAGUCCUGGCCGCAGCA